CCUAAGUGUUGUUGUCUGGAGCCGUUGGUUCUCCUGGAGGAGCUUGUCACUCUGGCCUUCCUGAUAGGAACUCAGCUGUUACCAUCUGAGGAGCUCAGGACCUUGUUGCUGAGAGUGGCUUUGGAGCACUUGGGGAGGCUCUGGUCCUUACUUUGAGGAUUGCUUCCUGGCUCUGGAGGUGAAGAGGGCAGCCCUGGCUCUUACCAUAAGCGUGACUUCUUGGCACUGGUGCAGAACCCUCGACCUACUCACAGCUCCUUCACCUGCUGGCAUAGACUUUCUGGCUUCCACUGCUAACCUGUGUGCCUUUCUAGUACAGAUCCAUGAAAGAGACUGGCAUGAGUCCUUCUUUUGGGCUCUAGACCUCCAGUUGGACUCAGGGGAGGCACUAGGUUUUCAUCUGGAUUCACAUAGGACAUUGCUGAGGGCUGGGUCUUUAGUGUUGUGGGCAGAUUUUCUGCCCUUUCUUGUAUUUAAUAUUAAGUGACCAUCAUAAAAAAUAUUAUAAAUUC